rnacentral:rRNA from 1 species
CUUAGAGUUUGAUCCUGGCUCAGGAUGAACGCUGGCGGCAUGCCUAAGACAUGCAAGUCGAACGAGGUGGCCCAAAGAAGAUUGAGUGCUUGCACAAGAUUGGACUUGGAUUACCACCUAGUGGCGGACGGGUGAGUAACACGUAGGUGACCUACCUUUGAGUUUGGGAUAACUAUUAGAAAUGAUAGCUAAUACCGAAUUAAAUGCAGAUUCGUUUCUGCAUUAAAAGGAGCCUUUAAAGCUUCGCUUAAAGAUGGGCCUGCGGCGUAUUAGCUAGUUGGUGAGGUAAUGGCUUACCAAGGCGACGAUGCGUAGCCGAACUGAGAGGUUGAUCGGCCACAUUGGGACUGAGACACGGCCCAAACUCCUACGGGAGACAGCAGUUAGGAAUAUUCGUCAAUGGGGGAAACCCUGAACGAGCAAUGCCGCGUGAACGAUGAAGGCCCUAUGGGUUGUAAAGUUCUGUUGCAUGGGACGAACGAUUAGGAUAGGAAAUGAUCUUAAUGUGACGGUACCAUGCCAGAAAGCUCCGGCUAACUACGUGCCAGCAGCCGCGGUAAUACGUAGGGAGCAAGCGUUAUCCGGAUUUAUUGGGCGUAAAGGGUGCGUAGGCGGUUUGUUAAGUAUGAGAUUAAAGCCCGAGGCUUAACCUCGGUUCGUUUCAUAAACUGGCAGGCUUGAGUGUGGCAGAGGUAAACGGAAUUUCUAGUGUAGCGGUUAAAUGCGUAGAUAUUAGAAGGAACACCAGUGGCGAAGGCGGUUUACUGGGCCAUAACUGACGCUGAGGCACGAAAGCGUGGGGAGCAAAUAGGAUUAGAUACCCUAGUAGUCCACGCCGUAAACGAUGAGUACUAAGUGUUGGGGCAACCCAGUGCUGAAGUUAACACAUUAAGUACUCCGCCUGAGUAGUACGGUCGCAAGGCUGAAACUCAAAGG